UACGAAGGGGGCUAGCGUUGCUCGGAAUCACUGGGCGUAAAGCGCACGUAGGCGGAUCUUUAAGUCAGGGGUGAAAUCCCAAGGCUCAACCUUGGAACUGCCUUUGAUACUGGCGAUCUUGAGUCCGGAAGAGGUGAGUGGAACUCCUAGUGUAGAGGUGGAAUUCGUAGAUAUUAGGAAGAACACCAGUGGCGAAGGCGGCUCACUGGUCCGGUACUGACGCUGAGGUGCGAAAGCGUGGGGAGCAAACAGG
rnacentral:rRNA from 1 species